AACAAUCAAACAUUUAACCAAAUUCUAAACCACUAACCAAUAAAAGAUAAAACAAACACUUGACUGACUACCCAUUAAUCUUCUUUCCCCAUCUUUCACGUUAUCUUUCCCCACCAUUCACGUUUUCAAUUUUCUCUUUCUUUAAAUUUCUUUGCAGAUCAAGAAAAACAAAUUAUUCAAGGUUCUCAUAAUUUGCUCAGCAAUUCUCUGAAUGAAUUCAAGAAAUCUCUCAAUUGAUAAAGGUAAUUUCGAUUAUUUAGUGAGCUUUUGAUUUUGUAUUCAAUCAUCAAUUAUGUUGUAUUUCUGAUUUUAUAUAUUAUGGAUUUUUAUUAAUUUUUUUCGAUUUUUGUGUGAGUUUGUUGAGAUAUUCAUCAAAUAUAAUUAACUCGAAGAAGAUCGAAUAGUUUCUGUGGAAUGAUUAGGAAGACAAAAUACAAUUUAAAAAAAUGGAUUUUUUAAGAAUAGAGAAAAAAACGCUAGAAAGAAUAAUGACGACAUAUGCUCUUUCAAUAUGUAAUUUAUGUUAACUUUAAUUUUUUUUAAAAAAAAAAUUCAAAUAUUUUGUCCUUUGAUUUUCUCUAUUUUGUUGUUUAAUAUAUGUUUUCUUUCAAAGUAAUUAAAAAAAAAUACAUAACUCAAUCCUUAACAAACUUAAUUUUUAAAUAAAUAGUGAAACUAUGCUAAGGAGUCUCAUUAGAAGCUAAAAUAUUAUUCUUUUAAGAAUUUUAAAUUAGCAAACUAGUCAUAAUACCUAAUAUAAUUAGUUAAAACAACUAAAAUUUAAAAUAUUUAUUUAAAGUAUCAAAAUGUCAAUAUUUUAAAAAAUAAUUUGUAUCCAAAAUAUUAUUAUUUAUCUUUUCUUUUUAUUUCUCAAAACAAUCCAACAUUGGAUCAAAUUUUAAACAGUAACAAAAAAAAAGAAAAAAAAAAAACAAACACAUGACUGACUACCCAUUAAUCUUUUUUUCCCAUGACUUUUUCUUUCCCCACCAUUCACGUUUUCUGUUUUCUCUUUCUUCAAGUUCCUUUGCAUAUCAAGAAAAACAAAUAUUCCAGAUUUUUAUAAUUUGCUCAACAAUUCUCUAAAUUAAUUCAAGAAUUUCCUCAAUUGAUAAAGGUAAUUUUGAUUAUUUACUCAGAUUUCUUUUAAUUUUAUUUUCAAAAUCACUGAUUAUGUUUCCUUUUUUAUUAUAUAUAUCAUAGAUUUUUUUACUUUUGUGAGUUUGUCGAAUUCAACUCGAAGAAGAUUGAAUAGUUUCUGUCGAAUGAUUCGGCAGACAAAAUACAUUUUUUUUAAAAAUGGAAUAUUUAAGAAUAGAGGAGAAAACGCUCGAAAGAAUAAUGACGACAUAUGCUCUUUCAAUAUUUAAUUUAUGUUAACUUUAAUUUUUGUAAAUAAAUUAAAAUACUUUUCCCCAUAUUUUCUCUAUUCUGUUGUUUAAUAUAUGUAUUCUUUCAAAUGAAUAAAAAAAAAAAAACAUCACUCAAGCCUUAACAAACUUAAAGAUUGACAUUUUAAAUAAAUAAUGAAAUUAUGGCUGAGAUCUCGCAUAGAAGCUAAAAAUUGUUGUUUUGAAAAUUUUCAUAAACUUGUCAUAAUAUCUAACAUAAUUAGUCAAAAACAACUACACUUUACAAUAUUUAUUUCUAAUGUCAAAAUGUCAAUAUUUUAGAAAAUAAUUUAUAUCCAAAAUAUUAUUAUUUAUCUUUUCUUUUUUUUCUCAAAACAGAUCAACAUUGUAUCAAAUUUUAAACCAUUAUUGAUAAUAAAGAAAAAACAAACACACGACUACCCAUUAAUCUUCUUUCCCCGUCUUUCACAUUUUCUUCCCCCAAGAUUCACGUUUUCUAUUUUUUCUUUCUUCAAGUUUCUUUGCAAAUCAAGAAAAACAAAUUAUUCAAGCUUCUCAUGAUUUGAUCAAUAAUUCUCUAAAUUAAUUCAAGAAAUCUAUCAAUUGAUAAAUUUAAUUUCAAUUUUUUAGUGUGAUUUCUUUUGCUUUUGUUUUCAAAAUCACCGAUUGUUUUGUAUUUCUCAUUGUAUAUAUUAUGAAUUUUUUGUCAUUUUUUUAAUUUUUAUGUGAGUUUGUUUAGAUAUUCAUCAAAUAUCUCGAAUUCAACUCGAAGAUAAUUGAAUUGUUUCUGUUAAUGAUUCUGUAGACACAUAAAUUGUAUUGGAUCAAAUUCAUACAAAAUUUGAAUUAAAUCCAUGUGUUGUGCGCUGAAUAAUUAAUUUGGGUUUUACAAAUAAAUAAGUCCAUCUUAUUAAAUGCAAAUCCAAGGUUCAUUUCACCUUGAAGCCCGAACCCAUGCCACAUAUCAUAGUGACUAGGCAUCCAAGACCAACAAGGUGACGCCACGUGUUCAAAUGAGGUGGUAGUCCCAGUCAAAUGCAAGAACGAAUCAAAAUGCACCAAGUGUCAAAAUGAUAUCCUUUGGCCAAUCACAAGCAACCUUGUCCACUCCCUACAACUAUAAAUAAGGGAUGUACAUGACAUUCAAGGGGAUCAAGAAAACUCUUCAACAAGCACUAAGAAAAUUGGAGAAAGCUACAACAUCAACAUGAAUAGUUCUUCGAAGGAGUGAACAACGGAGUUCUUCCCGGAGAGUGACUUACAACGACGAAGCACUUUUUGACGUCCCGAAAAUCGACAACAUCUCAAAAAGGUUUACAUCAUCCAAAAAUUUGGGAAAUACGCUACUGAAGGUCCUCGAUUAACGGAGAAACUUAGGAGAGAGAAUCAAGAAAACAAUGAAAUUGUACUCACAACGAUUCAUUAAUAAAAAUCACAUUUUUUCUUUUAUUUAUUUUGCUUGCAG
rnacentral:lncRNA from 1 species